rnacentral:ncRNA from 1 species
GAGUCCUGCUCGUGAUCGUCUUCUCACCCUUCACGUGGCAGGCGGAUAAGAGGAAGGGCCCGUACGUCGGAUACGUACGGGCCCUUCCG